AGAGUUUGAUCAUGGCUCAGAUUGAACGCUGGCGGCAGGCCUAACACAUGCAAGUCGAGCGGUAGCACAGAGAGCUUGCUCUCGGGUGACGAGCGGCGGACGGGUGAGUAAUGUCUGGGAAACUGCCUGAUGGAGGGGGAUAACUACUGGAAACGGUAGCUAAUACCGCAUAAUGUCGCAAGACCAAAGUGGGGGACCUUCGGGCCUCAUGCCAUCAGAUGUGCCCAGAUGGGAUUAGCUAGUAGGUGGGGUAACGGCUCACCUAGGCGACGAUCCCUAGCUGGUCUGAGAGGAUGACCAGCCACACUGGAACUGAGACACGGUCCAGACUCCUACGGGAGGCAGCAGUGGGGAAUAUUGCACAAUGGGCGCAAGCCUGAUGCAGCCAUGCCGCGUGUGUGAAGAAGGCCUUCGGGUUGUAAAGCACUUUCAGCGGGGAGGAAGGCGGUGAGAUUAAUAACCUCAUCGAUUGACGUUACCCGCAGAAGAAGCACCGGCUAACUCCGUGCCAGCAGCCGCGGUAAUACGGAGGGUGCAAGCGUUAAUCGGAAUUACUGGGCGUAAAGCGCACGCAGGCGGUCUGUCAAGUCGGAUGUGAAAUCCCCGGGCUCAACCUGGGAACUGCAUUCGAAACUGGCAGGCUAGAGUCUUGUAGAGGGGGGUAGAAUUCCAGGUGUAGCGGUGAAAUGCGUAGAGAUCUGGAGGAAUACCGGUGGCGAAGGCGGCCCCCUGGACAAAGACUGACGCUCAGGUGCGAAAGCGUGGGGAGCAAACAGGAUUAGAUACCCUGGUAGUCCACGCCGUAAACGAUGUCGAUUUGGAGGUUGUGCCCUUGAGGCGUGGCUUCCGGAGCUAACGCGUUAAAUCGACCGCCUGGGGAGUACGGCCGCAAGGUUAAAACUCAAAUGAAUUGACGGGGGCCCGCACAAGCGGUGGAGCAUGUGGUUUAAUUCGAUGCAACGCGAAGAACCUUACCUGGUCUUGACAUCCACAGAACUUAGCAGAGAUGCUUUGGUGCCUUCGGGAACUGUGAGACAGGUGCUGCAUGGCUGUCGUCAGCUCGUGUUGUGAAAUGUUGGGUUAAGUCCCGCAACGAGCGCAACCCUUAUCCUUUGUUGCCAGCGGU
rnacentral:rRNA from 1 species